GCUAACGGCCAUACCAGUCUGAAAGUGCCUGACCUCGUCACAUCUCAGAAGUUAUAGAGACUUGGGCCUGAUUAGUACUUGUAUGGGAGACCAAAUAGGGACCUCAGGUGCUGUAAUCU
rnacentral:rRNA from 1 species